CCUACGGGAGGCAGCAGUGGGGAAUUUUGGACAAUGGGCGAAAGCCUGAUCCAGCAAUGCCGCGUGUGUGAAGAAGGCCUUCGGGUUGUAAAGCACUUUUGUCCGGAAAGAAAUGGCUCUGGUUAAUACCUGGGGUCGAUGACGGUACCGGAAGAAUAAGGACCGGCUAACUACGUGCCAGCAGCCGCGGUAAUACGUAGGGUGAAAGCGUUAAUCGGAAUUACUGGGCGUAAAGCGUGCGCAGGCGGUUGUGCAAGACCGAUGUGAAAUCCCCGAGCUUAACUUGGGAAUUGCAUUGGUGACUGCACGGCUAGAGUGUGUCAGAGGGGGGUAGAAUUCCACGUGUAGCAGUGAAAUGCGUAGAGAUGUGGAGGAAUACCGAUGGCGAAGGCAGCCCCCUGGGAUAACACUGACGCUCAUGCACCGAAAGGC
rnacentral:rRNA from 1 species